rnacentral:rRNA from 1 species
GACGAACGCUGGCGGCGUGCCUAAUACAUGCAAGUCGAACGCAGUGGGGACGGGUGCUUAACACGUGGGUAACCUCCCAUCAGAGGGGAUAACACUUGGAAACAGGUGCUAAACCGAUAUUGAUGUAUGGACCCGCGGUGCAUUAGCUAGUUGGUGAGGUAACGGCUCACCAAGGCCACGAUGCAUAGCCGAGCGGAGAGGGUGAGCAGCCACACUGGGACUGAGACACGGCCCAGACUCCGACGGGAGGCAGCAGGAGGGAAUAUUCGGCAAUGGACGAAAGUCUGACCGAGCAAUGCCGCGUGAGUGAAGAAGGUUUUCGGAUCGUAAAACUCUGUUGUUAGAGAAGCGGUAUCUAAACAGAAAGCAACGGCUAACUCCGUGCCAGCCGCCGCGGUAAUAC